GCCAAUAGGGCUGCUAUAGCAGGCUACUUUGAUAUAGUAGAUUGUAAAUGUAUAUUUCGUUGGUA
rnacentral:tRNA from 1 species